UACGUAGGGCGCAAGCGUUGUCCGGAAUUAUUGGGCGUAAAGAGCUCGUAGGCGGCUUGUCACGUCGAUUGUGAAAACUCGGGGCUUAACCCCGAGCCUGCAGUGGAUACGGGCAGACUAGAGGUAGGUAGGGGAGAAUGGAAUUCCCGGUGUAGCGGUGAAAUGCGCAGAUAUCGGGAGGAACACCGGUGGCGAAGGCGGUUCUCUGGGCCUUACCUGACGCUGAGGAGCGAAAGCGUGGGGAGCGAACAGG
rnacentral:rRNA from 1 species